GGCUGUUUCUGCUCCUGGACAUUAAGAGGAUUCUUCCCCCCCCACCCCCUUUUGCGGGGCUGAAAAAGACGCUUGCUUGCCUUCAGAAGGGCUGGGGGGAGACUGUGACUUAGUGGCAUGUGGCAACCCUGCCAUGUAAUGUAUUCGUUAUUACCCGCCAUCAAGUCAGAACCAACUUCUAGCAACUCUAAUGAGAUUUCCAAUUUAAGUGAGAUGUUUAAGGAGUAGUUUCACCAGUUCCACUCCCCAGCCCAUUAUCGAGGGCAAGCAGAACUCCAGGAAGCUGGAUGGAAUCCACUGCAGAUGUUGUAAAGGAGAGAGAAACCUGCAUGUCAGCAGCAUGUUGAUGACAGUGCACCCCAAAUCUCUAGAAGAACUCUCCCAGUGGAUUUACAUAGAUGUUAAAAAGCACAGGGGAGACAAUCGAGCCCCAAAGAACCUCCUAACGCAGGACCCAUUGUUUGUCUACUGCAGUUUCCACAUUUAUUAUCAAAAUAUCCUGGCUUGAUAUUAACAUCAAGCGUAUGAUGUGGGUGCUUCUCAUGUUUCUAAUAGCUGGAAUCAUAGCUGGAGUUGACCAUAUUGAUUAAAGUAUUACUUUUGAAAUAAACUCUUUUUUUCCUGAUUCUGAAUUAGUAGUUUUUGCACUGAAUUACACUGACAGUGGGGCUACUCAGAA